UACGUAGGGGGCAAGCGUUAUCCGGAUUUACUGGGUGUAAAGGGAGCGUAGACGGUUGUGUAAGUCUGAAGUGAAAUCCCCCGGCUCAACCGGGGAACUGCUUUGGAAACUAUACGACUAGAGUGCAGGAGAGGUAAGUGGAAUUCCUAGUGUAGCGGUGAAAUGCGUAGAUAUUAGGAGGAACACCAGUGGCGAAGGCGGCUUACUGGACUGUAACUGACGUUGAGGCUCGAAAGCGUGGGGAGCAAAC
rnacentral:rRNA from 1 species